rnacentral:rRNA from 1 species
ACUCCCCAGGCGGGGUACUUAUUGCGUUAACUCCGGCACUGGAGGGGUCGAUACCCCCAACACCUAGUACCCAUCGUUUACGGCCAGGAUUACCGGGGUAUCUAAUCCCGUUCACUACCCUGGCUUUCGCGCCUCAGUGUCAGACACAGUCCAGAAAGUCGCCUUCGCCACUGGUGUUCCUCCUAAUAUCUACGCAUUUCACCGCUACACUAGGAAUUCCACUUUCCUCUCCUGCACUCAAGAAUAACAGUAUCCAAUGCUUCACGGGGUUAAGCCCCGAACUUUAACAUCAGACUGAUUAUCCCACCUGCGCGCGCUUUACGCCCAAUAAUUCCGGACAACGCUUGCCACCUACGUAUUACCGCGGCUGCUGGCACGUAGUUAGCCGUGGCUUUCUUGUCAGGUACCGUCAUUAUGGAUCAUUAUUUACAAUCCACACAUUCGUCCCUGAAAACAGAGUUUUACGAUCCGAAAACCUUCUUCACUCACGCGGCGUUGCUCCGUCAGACUUUCGUC